GCCUGGCUGGCUCAGUCGGAAGAGCAUGCGACUCUUGAUCUUGAGGGUUGUGAGUUUGAGCUUCACGUUGGGCA
rnacentral:tRNA from 1 species